rnacentral:rRNA from 1 species
UACGUAGGGUCCGAGCGUUAAUCGGAAUUACUGGGCGUAAAGCGUGCGCAGGUGGUUUUGUAAGCCAGAUGUGAAAGCCCCGGGCUUAACCUGGGAACUGCAUUUGGGACUGCAAGGCUAGAGUACGGCAGAGGGGGGUAGAAUUCCUGGUGUAGCAGUGAAAUGCGUAGAUAUCAGGAGGAAUACCGAUGGCGAAGGCAGCCCCCUGGGUCGAUACUGACGCUCAUGCACGAAAGCGUGGGGAGCAAACAGG